AAGAACAAUACUGGCGUAAUUAUACAGAACAGUCAUUUUGCCUGUUGACAUAACAGAAAUAUGCUUUACAUGUCAUUUUGUUCUAGGGAGCAGGGAGCAUACAGAGGAGUUGAUAAAACUCCGUGGGCAAAAUAACCACCUCUUUACUGGGGCCAAGAACACUGCCGCAGUCGGAUGGAGAACAAUCCUGCAAAAAACGGGCCUGGAGGGUGAAGUUGAGUCACAACAGGCCAAAAAAAAGUGGGACAACUU